CAAAAACCUCCAGAUGAACAGAUGUCAAACAGUGUUUGUGACAGGAAGAGAGCAGUAAACCACAGCCCAGCAGGUUUCCUGUUGUUCCACACAGUGAGAACAAAGGAGCAACACAGAAGCACAAUGAUACAACAAGAUGAAGACAAACAAACAACAAUAUAACACAAAUAAAAGAGCCAAAUAAUGGAGAGAUCAAAAGUGAAACUUUAUUAACAUUUGAUUUAAUAACAAAAAU